rfam:Bradyrhizobium elkanii strain TASWS1015 Contig156, whole genome shotgun sequence.
AAUAUAGAUGGGGAUGGAGUCCCCCGAUACCCGCCCGUCGUGGGCUGAUGACUCCUGCUGGGAU